UACGGGGGGGGCAAGCGUUGUCCGGAAUCAUUGGGCGUAAAGAGCGUGUAGGCGGCUUGGUAAGUCCGCUGUGAAAGUCCAGGGCUCAACCCUGGAAAGCCGGUGGAAACUGUCAAGCUUGAGUCCGGAAGAGGAGAGCGGAAUUCCUGGUGUAGCGGUGAAAUGCGCAGAUAUCAGGAAGAACACCCGUGGCGAAGGCGGCUCUCUGGGACGGUACUGACGCUGAGACGCGAAAGCGUGGGGAGCGAACAGG
rnacentral:rRNA from 1 species